rnacentral:rRNA from 1 species
UAGAGUUUGAUCCUGGCUCAGAGCGAACGCUGGCGGUAUGCUUAACACAUGCAAGUCGAGCGAGAAAGUGGCUUCGGCCACGAGUACAGCGGCGGACGGGUGCGUAACACGUGGAUAAUCUGCCUUCAGGUCUGGGAUAACCCUGGGAAACUAGAGCUAAUACCGGAUAAGACCACAGGUUCCAUGGAACCAAGGGUAAAAGGCGGCCUUCGGGCUGUCUCC